AUGCAUAUACUGAUCGUCGAACGAACUCUGUGUAUUGAUUGGUGCUCAGCAUCAUGAUUUACAUUUGAGUGAGUGGCGAACUGGUGAGUAACACGUGGGAAACCUGCCCAGAAGCGGGGGAUAACACCUGGAAACAGAUGCUAAUACCGCAUAACAACUUGGACCGCAUGGUCCGAGUUUGAAAGAUGGCUUCGGCUAUCACUUUUGGAUGGUCCCGCGGCGUAUUAGCUAGAUGGUGAGGUAACGGCUCACCAUGGCAAUGAUACGUAGCCGACCUGAGAGGGUAAUCGGCCACAUUGGGACUGAGACACGGCCCAAACUCCUACGGGAGGCAGCAGUAGGGAAUCUUCCACAAUGGACGAAAGUCUGAUGGAGCAACGCCGCGUGAGUGAAGAAGGGUUUCGGCUCGUAAAACUCUGUUGUUAAAGAAGAACAUAUCUGAGAGUAACUGUUCAGGUAUUGACGGUAUUUAACCAGA
rnacentral:rRNA from 2 species